AGCGAACGCUGGCGGCAGGCCUAACACAUGCAAGUCGAACGAACUCUUCGGAGUUAGCGGCGGACGGGUGAGUAACACGUGGGAACGUGCCUUUAGGUUCGGAAUAACUCAGGGAAACUUGUGCUAAUACCAAAUGUGGCCUUCGGGGGAAAGAUUUAUCGCCUUUAGAGGGGCCCGCGUCGGAUUAGCUAGUUGGGGAGGUAAAGGCCCACCAAGGCGACGAUCAGUAGCUGGUCUGGGAGGAUGAUCAGCCAAAUUGGGACUGAGACCCGGCCCAAACUCCUACGGGAGGCAGCAGGGGGGAAUCUUGCGAAAUGGGCGAAAGCCUGACGCAGCCAUGCCGCGUGAAUGAUGAAGGUCUUAGGAUUGUAAAAUUCUUUCACCGGGGACAAUAAUGACGGUACCCGGAGAAGAAGCCCCGGCUAACUUCGUGCCAGCAGCCGCGGUAA
rnacentral:rRNA from 1 species